UAUGGCGACUAUGCAGUGCGUGUUCACCCCUUCCCAUUCCGAACAGGGUCGUUAAGCCGCACAUGGCCUAUGGUACUGUACAACAAUACGGGAGAGUGGGUUGUCGCCAACU
rnacentral:rRNA from 1 species